AAUCAAAACAGAUUAACAAACGCUUGCAUCAGUUGUAAAAAUCACUUCUUUUGCAAUUUUUCUUUACUGGGUCUUCGUUUUUUGCGAUAUAAUAUCUAUGUUUUUAUACAAAUCGCUGGACAUCUAACUUUAUCCUCCUCCUCUUCUACUGUACAGUGUACACAGAGCAGCUACUUUCUCUCCUUUCCUUUCCUUUCCUUUUCCCCUUCUGAUUAUUUGCCAACAUUCUUUAUGCCCUCCUUACUCAUCUAAUCACUUUCUCUAUUCACACUUUAGAGAUGGAGACUAAGAUUCUAUUCUUCUCUUUCUUUCUUCUUCUCCUUGCCUUCUCUGCCUUUGCUCAGAUGCCAGGUUUUGUGAGUUUGGACUGUGGGGGCAAACAAAAUUUCACUGAUGAACUUGGACUUGUGUGGACUUCUGAUGAUAAUCUUAUUUAUGGAGAAACAGCAAUCAUAUCAGUUGCAAAUGAGACAAGGAAGCAAUAUAUGACACUGAGACAUUUCCCAGCAGAUUCCAGGAAGUACUGUUACACUCUAGGUGUCAUAAGUAGGUCAAGGUAUCUUUUAAGGGCAACAUUCUUGUAUGGUAAUUUUGACAACAACAAUGUCUAUCCCAAAUUUGAUAUCUCUUUUGGGGCAACUCAUUGGUCCACAAUUGUCAUUUCUGAUGCUAAUACCAUAGAGUCUAUAGAGCUGAUAUUUCUGGCUUCAAGCCCCACCAUCAGUGUAUGCUUAUCAAAUGCCACAACGGGGCAGCCAUUCAUAUCUACCCUUGAGCUCCGGCAAUUCAAUGGUUCAGUUUAUUAUACAGAUUAUGAGAACCAGUUUUAUCUCAGUGUUUCUGCAAGGAUCAAUUUUGGUGCAGAUAGUGAAGAUCCAGUUAGGUAUCCUGAUGACCCAUUUGAUAGAAUAUGGGAAUCUGACUCUGUGAAAAAAGCAAAUUACCUUGUUGAUGUUGCUGCUGGUACUCAGAAAGUUUCAACUGACAUGCCAAUAGAUGUUAGCAGUCAUGAAAGGCCUCCUGAGAAAGUGAUGCAGACUGCUGUAGUUGGUACAAAUGGAUCAUUAACCUAUCGGUUGAACUUAGAUGGUUUUCCUGGUUUUGGGUGGGCUGUCACGUACUUUGCAGAAAUUGAAGAUUUGAAGCCUACUGAGUCCAGGAAAUUCAGGCUUGUACUACCUGGCUACCCUGAAAUGAGCAAAGCUAUUGUUAAUAUCCAAGAAAAUGCUCAAGGAAAAUAUCGUCUCUAUCAACCAGGAUAUACCAACAUAUCUCUCCCCUUUGUAUUGUCUUUUAGAUUUGGAAAGACUUCUGAUUCUACCAAGGGACCACUCUUGAAUGCUAUGGAGAUAAAUAAGUAUCUAGAGAAACAUGAUGGUUCCCUUGAUGGUAAGUAGAAAUAUUCUUUCUUGAGUGCACAUGUGCCAUUUCAGCUGUGAACUGUAGCAUAAAGUUUGGUUGUGAACUGUGCUUUGAGGCGUAAGUUCAGCAUUUUGCCUAUGAAGUAUGGAGCAUAUUAUUGUCCGUAUCAUUUCAUACAUUAUUUGAACUCUUUGAAUUUAAUCAUAUCUGAUGUUAAAUUUGCUGUAGGGGAAGUUAUUGCUAGUGUCAUUUUGCCCUAUGCAUCAGCAGAUUGGGCACAGGAAGGUGGUGACCCCUGUCUACCAGUACCAUGGUCAUGGUUACAGUGUAAUUCAGAUGCACAACCAAGGAUAGUCAAAAUCUCCUUGUCUGGUAAGAAUUUGACUGGGAAUAUUCCUUCAAACAUGCCAAAGUUGAAUGGCUUAGUUGAACUAUGGCUUGAUAGGAAUUCACUAACUGGUCCAAUACCUGAUUUUAGUGGAUGUAGAGACUUGGAGAUCAUCCAUCUCGAGAACAAUCAGUUGACGGGUGAGCUUCCUUCCUCGUUACUGAACCUACCCAAUUUAAUGGAACUGUAUGUGCAAAAUAAUUUGUUAUCUGGAACAGUACCAUCAAGUCUUCUCAAUAAGAACAUAAUUUUCAACUACUCUGGAAAUCUUAAUCUUCAUGAAGGAGGCCAAAGAGGAAAACACGUUGAUAUUAUUAUUGGUUCAUCAGUUGGAACUGCUGUUCUGCUGAUAGCUACAAUAGCAUCUUGUUUAUUUAUACGAAGAGGAAAGAGAAGUCCUGAUCAAGAACGGCUCAGGGUUCCAGCACCUGUUCAAAGGCUAGUUUCUGCUUUUAAUGAUACUCCAGCAGAAGGUGCAUGUCGCUUCAAAUUCUCUGAGAUUGAAGAUGCUACAAAUAAGUUUGAGAAAAAAAUAGGUUCUGGAGGUUUUGGAGUUGUAUACUAUGGGAAAAUGAAAGAUGGAAAAGAAAUUGCAGUCAAAGUUCUAACUAGUAAUUCCUACCAGGGAAAGCGAGAAUUUUCAAAUGAGGUGACUCUUCUUUCAAGGAUACAUCACAGAAACCUGGUACAAUUUUUUGGAUUUUGCCAAGAAGAAGGGAGAAGUAUGCUUGUUUAUGAGUUCAUGCACAAUGGAACGCUCAAGGAACAUCUUUAUGGCCCAUUAACACGUGGAAAAAGUAUUAAUUGGAUCAAGCGCCUUGAGAUUGCUGAAGACGCUGCCAAAGGAAUUGAAUAUCUCCACCAGGGAUGCAAUCAAAGAAUCCUCCAUUUUGACAUAAAUCCACAUAAUAUCCUGCUUGACCACAAUUUCAAUCCCAAAAUCUCUGAUUUUGGCCAGGCUAAGUUGUGUUCUAGGGAUCAAAGUGCAGUGUCCUUGACAACAGCCAGAGGAACCAUUGGCUACAUCGCUCCUGAAGUCUUUUCAAGGAACUUUGGGAAUGUUUCCUGUAAAUCAGAUGUUUAUAGUUUUGGAAUGUUGGUGUUAGAAAUGGUUGGAGGAAGGAAAAACAUCGACGUUAACGUGGAGAAAACUAGCCAAGUCUUCUUCCCAGAGUGGAUAUAUAAUCAUUUGGAUCAAGGACAGGAGCUAAGAAUCCGGAUUGAGGAAGAAGGAGAUGCUAAAAUUGCAAGGAAACUCACAGUUGUUGGAUUAUGGUGCAUUCAAUGGUACCCUGCAGAUCGUCCCUCGAUGAAAGUUGUUGUUCAAAUGUUGGAAGGAGGAGAUGAUUUAACAAUGCCGCCUAAUCCUUUCGCCUCUGGAGGUCCAAUGAAGACUGAUGCAGGCAUGCGUGGGAAACGUCUGUACCAAGAGUUAGAAGUCAUCACUGAAGUGGAGUGAUCAAAAUCUCGUUGUUGUUGUCCUGUAUCUUGAGCAAAUUCUGGUUGCUGUUAUAGAUGUUCUCCAUUUGUCUACUAAAUGCUUGUUUAGGAAAGGUUAUUAAGGUUUCUGUAUAAUGUAAGCUUAGUAGGGUGCAAGAUUAUUAAGCUUCCUGUGUUGAUGUACGUUUGUUUAGUAGGAUGUAAUUAAGCAUAAUGAAAUAUAAUCGC
rnacentral:misc_RNA from 1 species